rnacentral:rRNA from 1 species
AGUUUGAUCCUGGCUCAGGAUGAACGCUAGCUACAGGCUUAACACAUGCAAGUCGAGGGGAAACGAUAGAGAAAGCUUGCUUUUUCUAGGCGUCGACCGGCGCACGGGUGAGUAACGCGUAUCCAACCUGCCCAUCACUUGGGGAUAACCUUGCGAAAGUAAGACUAAUACCCAAUGACGUCCAUAGAAGACAUCUGAAAUGGAUUAAAGAUUUAUCGGUGAUGGAUGGGGAUGCGUCUGAUUAGCUUGUUGGCGGGGUAACGGCCCACCAAGGCGACGAUCAGUAGGGGUUCUGAGAGGAAGGUCCCCCACAUUGGAACUGAGACACGGUCCAAACUCCUACGGGAGGCAGCAGUGAGGAAUAUUGGUCAAUGGGCGAGAGCCUGAACCAGCCAAGUAGCGUGCAGGAUGACGGCCCUAUGGGUUGUAAACUGCUUUUAUAAGGGAAUAAAGUGAGAGUCGUGACUCUUUUUGCAUGUACCUUAUGAAUAAGGACCGGCUAAUUCCGUGCCAGCAGCCGCGGUAAUACGGAAGGUCCGGGCGUUAUCCGGAUUUAUUGGGUUUAAAGGGAGCGUAGGCCGGAGAUUAAGCGUGUUGUGAAAUGUAGACGCUCAACGUCUGCACUGCAGCGCGAACUGGUUUCCUUGAGUACGCACAAAGUGGGCGGAAUUCGUGGUGUAGCGGUGAAAUGCUUAGAUAUCACGAAGAACUCCGAUUGCGAAGGCAGCUCACUGGAGCGCAACUGACGCUGAAGCUCGAAAGUGCGGGUAUCGAACAGGAUUAGAUACCCUGGUAGUCCGCACGGUAAACGAUGGAUGCCCGCUGUUGGUCUGAAUAGGUCAACGGCCAAGCGAAAGCAUUAAGCAUCCCACCUGGGGAGUACGCCGGCAACGGUGAAACUCAAAGGAAUUGACGG